rnacentral:rRNA from 1 species
UACGGGGGGGGCAAGCGUUGUUCGGAAUUACUGGGCGUAAAGGGCUCGUAGGCGGCUCCUUAAGUCAGACGUGAAAUCCCUCGGCUUAACCGGGGAACUGCGUCUGAGACUGAGACAGCUGAAUCGGAGGAGGAUGCGGAUCAGGUGUAGCGGUGAAUGCGUAGAUAUUGGGAGGAACACCGGUGGCGAAGGCGGCUACCUGGACCGGUUCUGACGCUGAUGCGCGAAAGCGUGGGUAGCAACAGG